rnacentral:rRNA from 1 species
UACGUAGGGGGCAAGCGUUGUCCGGAAUCAUUGGGCGUAAAGCGCGCGUAGGCGGCCCGGUAAGUCCGCUGUGAAAGUCAAAGGCUCAACCUUUGAAUGUCAGCGGAUACUGCCGGGCUAGAGUCCGGAAGAGGCGAGUGGAACUCCUGGUGUAGCGGUGGAAUGCGCAGAUAUCAGGAAGAACACCAACGGCGAAGGCAGCUCGCUGGGACGGAACUGACGCUGAGACGCGAAAGCGUGGGGAGCAAACAGG